rnacentral:rRNA from 1 species
UACGGAGGGAGCUAGCGUUGUUCGGAAUUACUGGGCGUAAAGCGCACGUAGGCGGCUUUGUAAGUUAGAGGUGAAAGCCCGGAGCUCAACUCCGGAACUGCCUUUAAGACUGCAUCGCUUGAAUCCAGGAGAGGUGAGUGGAAUUCCGAGUGUAGAGGUGAAAUUCGUAGAUAUUCGCAAGAACACCAGUGGCGAAGGCGGCUUACUGGUCCGGUUCUGACGCUGAGGCGCGAAAGCGUGGGGAGCAAACAGG